CAGUAGCCGCGGUAAUACGAAGGGGGCUAGCGUUGUUCGGAAUUACUGGCGUAAGGGGCGCGUAGGCGGCCAUUCAAGUUAGAUGUGAAAGCCCUGGGCUCAACCUAGGAAUUGCAUUUGAUACUGUUUGGCUUGAGUUCGGGAGAGGUGAGUGGAAUUCCCAGUGUAGAGGUGAAAUUCGUAGAUAUUGGGAAGAACACCAGUGGCGAAGGCGGCUCACUGGACCGACACUGACGCUGAGGCGCGAAAGCGUGGGGAGCAAACAGGAUUAGAUACCCCGGUAGUCCCUGUCUCUUUACAC
rnacentral:rRNA from 1 species